GCACCUUUGGUGUAGUGGUAACAUAAAUGCCUUCCAACAGCAUUUGCCAUGGGUUCGAUUCCCGUAAGGUGCA